rnacentral:sRNA from 1 species
GUCGGCAGCGCUGCACCGGCGGGUAGCAGCUAUGCGGGAGGCGGGGACAGCGCUUCCGGACCAGAGCUGUGGAUUUCCUUGGAGGAACACCAGGAUGCUUUGGAACUCAUCAUGAGCAAAUAUCGGAAACAGAUGUUACAGUUAAUGGUUGCUAAAAAAGCGGUGGAUGCUGAACCAGUCCUGAAAGCUCACCAGUCUCACUCUGCAGAAAUUGAGAGUCAGAUUGACAGAAUCUGUGAAAUGGGAGAAGUGAUGAGGAAAGCAGUUCAGGUGGAUGAUGACCAGUUUUGUAAGAUUCAGGAAAAAUUAGCCCAAUUAGAGCUUGAAAAUAAGGAACUUCGAGAAUUAU